rnacentral:lncRNA from 1 species
GCCCAAAGAGGAACCUUCUUUCUCAUUUUCUCAUGCACAGACGCCCACCCCUCUCUCAAAUUUUUCACACCUAAACCUUGAGGUUCUCUCACACCAAAAGUAAUCUAAUGAGGUGCACAAAAAAUAUCCCUUCUUAAGGUGGCAUCUUAUCAAGAUAAGGAUAGAGUUUGAAUAUUUUGGUUUAGGUUCAAGCAGGGUUUGAUCUUAUCAUGAAUUCAAAUCAGAUUUGAAUUCUAUUUUGAACCAAACUCAAUUCACAUCUAAGGAACUCAGAAACAUGGGUGACAAACCUCAGAUUGGCACAAAAACAUUUACACAAAAACCAUUUUGGCAUGAUGAGAAAAGGUGGUUGGCGGC